UACGAAGGGGGGCUAGCGUUGCUCGGAAUCACUGGGCGUAAAGGGUGCGUAGGCGGGUCUUUUAAGUCAGGGGGUGAAAUCCUGGAGCUCAACUCCAGAACUGCCUUUGAUACUGAGGAUCUUGAGUUCGGGAGAGGUGAGUGGAACUGCGAGUGUAGAGGUGAAAUUCGUAGAUAUUCGCAAGAACACCAGUGGCGAAGGCGGCUCACUGGCCCGAUACUGACGCUGAGGCACGAAAAGCGUGGGGGAGCAAACAGG
rnacentral:rRNA from 1 species